CUUCCAUCAGGGCAAACUACCGGCGACGGUAGGACGCAAAGCACCGGAUCUUCCCGCACCGCGAAGACAGCCGGGCCGCCGAG
rnacentral:ncRNA from 1 species